UGUGUACACAUAAAAUUGUACUCGGGCGCGAGAUAUGUUGGUUGUAUUUCUCGAUGGUUUUCAUCUCUCUUAUCCUUGUGAGGUUGUUGACUUAUUUAUUCAAUGUGUACUAUCUCAGUAAGAAGUUAAGGAAGCAGUGUUAUGUGGAGAGAGAAUUAUAUCUAUUAUCUAUAUAAGGGCAGUGGUCCCAUAGACCAAAUAUCAAAAUGAAGAACAGCUAUCAACAGAUAACGGAUUUGUUAACUAGAUAUAAAUGGACACUGUUAAUAUUCAUUUUGAGCACAGCUAUCAUAUUCGUACACUUGCAGUACGCACGUGUGUCAAAUUCAGUUUCUAAAAACAGAAUGGAAGACAUUGGUCCAAAGGGGCCGGUAUUCAAAAGUAAGUUCAUUUUUAGCUCACCUGUCACAAAGUGACAGGGUGAGCUUUUGUGAUCGCUUUUCGUCCGGCGUCCGUCCAUCCGUUGUCCGUCCGUCCGUAAACUUUUACUUUAAAUGACAUCUCCUCAUAAACCACUAAGCCAAUUUCAUCCAAACUUCACAGGAAUGUUCCUUUGGUGGUCACCUUUAAAAAUUGUUCAAAGAAUUUAAUUCCAUGCAAAACUCUGGUUGCCAUGGCAACCGAAAGAAAAAACUUAAAAUAUCUUCUUUUAAAAAACCAUAAGAGCUAGAGCUUAGAUAUUUGGCAUGAAACAUCUUCUAGUGAGUGUCUACCAAGUUUGUUUAAAUAAAAGCCCUGGGGUCAAAAUUGGCCCCGCCCCGGGGGGUCAUUGAUUUUCCCUAUAUGCGUAUUGUAAAAACUUAAAAAAUCUUCUUUUAAAGAACCCAAAGAGCUAGAGCUAAGAUAUUUAGCAUGAAACAUGUUCUAAUUGGUGUCUACCAAGUUUGUUCAAAUAAAAGCCCUGGGGUCAAAAUUGGCCCCACCCCGGGGGUCAUUGAUUUUCCCAAUAUGCAUAUAGUAAAAACUUAAAAAACCUUCUUUUAAAGAACUCAAAGAGCUAGAGCUUAGAUAUUUAGCAUGAAACAUCUUCUAGUGAGUGUCUACAAAGUUUGUUCAAAUAAAAGCCCUUUGGUCAAAAUUGGCCCCGCCCCGGGGGUCAUUGAUUUUCCCUAUAUGCAUAUAGUAAAAACUUAAAAAAUCUUCUUUUAAAGAACCCAAAGAGCUAGAGCUAAGAUAUUUAGCAUGAAACAUGUUCUAAUGGGUGUCUACCAAGUUUGUUCAAAUAAAAGCCUUGGGGUGAAAAUUGGCCCCGCCCCGGGGGUCAUUGAUUUUCCCUAUAUGCAUAUAGUAAAAACUUAAAAAUCUUCUUUUAAAGGACUCAAACAGCUAGAGCUUAGAUAUUUGGCAUGAAACAUCUUCUAGUGUGUGUCUACCAAGUUUGUUCAAAUAAAAGCCCUGGGGUCAAAAUUGGCCCCGCCCCGGGGGGUCAUUGAUUUUCCCUAUAUGCAUAUAGUAAAAACUUGAAAAAUCUUCUUUUAAAAAACCCAAAGAGCUAGAGCUAAGAUAUUUAACAUGAAACAUCUUCUAAUGGGUGUCUACCAAGUUUGUUCAAAUAAAAGCCCUGGGUUGAAAAUUGGCCCGCCCCGGGGGGGUCAUUGAUUUUCCCUAUAUGCAUAUAGUAAAAACUUAAAAAAUCUUCUUUUAAAGAACUCAAAGAGCUAUGGCUAAGAUAUUGAGCAUCAAACAUGUUCUAAUAGGUGUCUACCAAGUUUGUUCAAAUACAAGCCCAGGGGUGAAAAUUGGCCCCGCCCCGGGGGUCAUUGAUUUUCUUUAUAUGUGUUUAGCAAAAACUUUAAAUCUUCUUUGAAAAAACCCAAAUAGCUAGAGUUUAGAUAUUAAGCAUGAAACAUCUUCUAGUAAGUGUGUACAAAGUUUGUUCAAAUAAAAGCCCUGGGGUCAAAACUGGCCCGGCCCCAGGGGUGUCCUUGUUUUUAACUA